rnacentral:rRNA from 1 species
GAUGAACGCUGGCGGCGUGCCUAAUACAUGCAAGUCGAGCGAACGGACGAGAAGCUUGCUUCUCUGAUGUUAGCGGCGGACGGGUGAGUAACACGUGGAUAACCUACCUAUAAGACUGGGAUAACUUCGGGAAACCGGAGCUAAUCCCGUAUAAUAUUUUGAACCGCAUGGUUCAAAAGUGAAAGACGGUCUUGCUGUCACUUAUAGAUGGAUCCGCGCUGCAUUAGCUAGUUGGUAAGGUAACGGCUUACCAAGGCAACGAUGCAUAGCCGACCUGAGAGGGUGAUCGGCCACACGGGAACUGAGACACGGUCCAGACUCCUACGGGAGGCAGCAGUAGGGAAUCUUCCGCAAUGGGCGAAAGCCUGACGGAGCAACGCCGCGUGAGUGAUGAAGGUCUUCGGAUCGUAAAACUCUGUUAUUAGGGAAGAACAUAUGUGUAAGGAACUGUGCACAGCUUGACGGUACCUAAUCAGAAAGCCACGGCUAACUACGUG